GGGGAAUAUUGCACAAUGGGCGCAAGCCUGAUGCAGCGACGCCGCGUGAGCGAAGAAGGUUUUCGGAUCGUAAAGCUCUGUCCUCUGGGAAGAAAAAAUGACGGUACCUGAAGAAUAAGCCACGGCUAACUACGUGCCAGCAGCCGCGGUAAUACGUAGGUGGCGAGCGUUGUCCGGAAUUACUGGGUGUAAAGGGCGUGUAGGCGGGAAUGUAAGUCAGAUGUGAAAUCCCAGGGCUUAACUCUGGAGCUGCAUCUGAAACUAUGUUUCUUGAGUGUCGGAGAGGAAAGCGGAAUUCCUAGUGUAGCGGUGAAAUGCGUAGAUAUUAGGAGGAACACCAGUGGCGAAGGCGGCUUUCUGGACGAUAACUGACGCUGAGGCGCGAAAGCGUGGGGAGCAAACA
rnacentral:rRNA from 1 species